rnacentral:rRNA from 1 species
UAGGGAAUCUUCCACAAUGGACGCAAGUCUGAUGGAGCAACGCCGCGUGAGUGAAGAAGGUUUUCGGAACGUAAAGCUCUGUUGUUGGUGAAGAAGGAUAGAGGCAGUAACUGGUCUUUAUUUGACGGUAAUCAACCAGAAAGUCACGGCUAACUACGUGCCAGCAGCCGCGGUAAUACGUAGGUGGCAAGCGUUGUCCGGAUUUAUUGGGCGUAAAGCGAGCGCAGGCGGAAUGAUAAGUCUGAUGUGAAAGCCCACGGCUCAACCGUGGAACUGCAUCGGAAACUGUCAUUCUUGAGUGCAGAAGAGGAGAGUGGAAUUCCAUGUGUAGCGGUGGAAUGCGUAGAUAUAUGGAAGAACACCAGUGGCGAAGGCGGCUCUAUGGUCUGCAACUGACGCUGAGGCUCGAAAGCAUGGGUAGCGAACAGG